UUUUCCUAAUGGCUACAUGGCUAAUGUUGAUUAUCAUGUUGUAAAUGUUUUGGCAAAAAUACAUACCAUAAUGCUAAAUAUUUUUCAGUGUCACAAAGAAGAGCAGCCCGUAGUAGCAGGACAAAUGUUGCACAGGAGGAUGCUGCUGCUACUACAGUCCCAUCCAGGCCACACCUUAGUCCGCAAAUGCGCACAGGACAACCAACAUCCAGCCGCAAACACGUGGCGUUGAAAAGACCAUGGCCAGAUCUCCCGAGGGCCACAUCUGCAUCUCCCCCUCACAGACGCAUCUCUACUGUGUCCUCAAGGCCACCAUCAGAUUUACUAGCACCUUCCCCACCACGGGAAGCAGAAUCCCCUCAUCUGGCUGAUGAUGACAGCAUGCCCACGGACCAGCAGACACUGCAAACUGAUGC